GUACUCACUUUAGCAGCAUAUAAACUAAAAUUAGGAAUCUAGAGAAGACUAGCAUGGCCUCUGCACAAAGACAACAUACAAAUACAUGAAGUCUUCAACAUUUUC
rnacentral:snRNA from 1 species